AAAUAACGUACGUCCCAUUAAUCCCUUCCCUUCCCUCGCCGCUCGCUUUGCUGCUAUGCAGGGUCCCGACACUCCGUGUGUCGAGGCACUUUCUAAUCUCUUGCUAUUCGGCCACAAGAGGCAUCAUCGUCACAGAUAAUAGGCACGGGAGCCUAUGCAGUGCGGGAUGAUGCAGCUGGUCAAUGAAUUGUAAUGAGAAUACAGCAUUGAGUCUUUAAUUACCUCAGUUGGCUCAGGUGGACGGACCACUCAGGUCACAUGGAGACACAAGACACUGCAGAUCCUGGGAUCUGGAGCAGGAAAACAAACUGCUGGAAGAAGUCAGCAAGUCAGACAGCAUCUGUGGAAGGAAAUGGGCAGUCACUGUUUCAGGUUCUUUUGAAGACCCUGACCUGGAGUUACACUCUGACUUCGGUUCUUUGCGGGAAUAGGACCCGCUCUCAGGGCCUCCCGACCGGGCGCUUUUCGCUAUGCCAAGGACGCGGUUUGGAAGACUAGCGCGCCUUCAGGCUGCCAGAUCUUCGUGGCUCUGGAGACGGGCUGAUUCAAGGCUGGUGCUCCUGACUGAGGCGUUGCGAGAGAACAUGGAACAUCAGGAACGGCGGUUUGGCUGCUGGCUGUGUGUCCGGAGACUUGAGUGCAGAGCUCAGAAAAAGCAAUGCAGCAGACUGUUAACACCAUAAAUCAGGACAGCAAGAGAUGUGAACGGAGAGAUCCAGAGAAAAGUAGAAUACACUUGCUGAAUUCUUGGCCUCCCAUUCCUUGGUAAAAUGUCUGAUCCUGCCAACUCUCCCCAUUCUGCCCUCCCUAAAUUCUACAAUCUCCUCUUUACUGCCACUCAUUGCCCCUCCCCGAUAUCUUAUUCCCAGUCUUGAUUCUGUUGUCCCUGCCCAGAACAUGUUGUUGUUCUUCAUCCCAACCACAAAACAUUACUUGAAUGCAAGUCGCAGAUCAGUCAUGAUUUUCUUCAGUGGCGAGCAGGCUUAAGGAGCUCUUGUUGGCAUAUCUCCAUAGUAUGUGGAUGCAUCAGGCAACUCUUAGUAAGACAAGGCCUUUGGAAAGGGAACGUCUUGAAACACAGUCUUGUUUCCUUUGACAAUUGACAAAAGGGCAGCGCAGUAGCGUAGUGGUUUGUGCAAUACUUUACGUUGCUAGCAAUCACUGACCGCUGAUCAAUUACCACUGCUGUCUGUACAGAGUUUGUACAUUCUCCCGGUGACUGCAUGGGUUUCCUCCCACACGCUUAAUACUUAGGGUUGGGUUAGUGAGAUGUGGUCAUGAUACGGUGGUAUGGGCUGCCCCAGCACAAUCCUUAGACUGUGUUGGCCGUUGACGCCAAACGAUGCAUUUCAAUAUUUUGAUGUACAUGUGACACAUAACAUUAAUCGUAAUCAGACUAUUCUGCUAAUGCUGAUCAUCUGCAUUUGUGUUUGGGGUUUUGGAGGACCUGAGUUGCCCCUGCAAGUGCAGACAAAGGAGGGAAAUGGAGGGUGGAUCAGGAAAGGAAAACUAGACAAUAGCUGUUCAGAUUUACCAGUUCCCACCUCCCUUUCAUAAGGAACACUUCCUCAGCUCACUCUACACUCUUAUCUCAGAGCCCAAUUAAAGCUGGAUGAAACGAAUGCAUCCAGAAAUAGUGCAGUCAUGAAUUUUAAAAUGUGUGCGAGGACCCUAAUGUAAUCUGUUUGAGGAGUUUCAGUUCCAAUACACAACAGCAGGCUGAACAGAUUCAGGUCACUGUGGGAAUUUGUUAAGUGGGAUACAGACCUUCUUCUGUACAUUAAAUUCCCUUUGUUUGCUGCUUAGUUAAUUAGGCUUUGAAGUUAAAGGUAAAUAGCAAAUAGUCCUUUUUAUAAGCAGACACUUCUCAGUUAUAUUUAAAGUGUCUCUUCCUUCUGUCCUAGAAUACAGCCAUUCUUUGAUUUACAAUCCAUUAUAUUCCAUCUAUCAAAAAGAUACAUUUCCAAAUAUUAUUUAUUUUUUAUUUAGAGAUACAGCACAGUAACAGGACAUUCCGGCCCACUGAGUCAGCAUAGCCCAAAUACACCCAUGUGACUAAUCAGCUUAUGUCUUUGGACUGUGGGAGGAAACCAGAGCACCCGGAGAAAACGCACGUGGUCACUGGGUAAACGUACAAACUCCUUGCAAAGAGUGGAGGGAAAUGAACCUAGGUCACUGGUACUGUAAAGUUUUUGCGCUAACUGCUUCCCUGUCACCCUGGAAAUAUUCAUUCAGAUAUUUCUCGUGACAUUUGUACUGAUCAGUUUUACGCUGGCUCAAAGAGCACCCCAUACCCCCAAAUCGUACCUGUACUGAAUCUCCCCUCCUCUCGCACAACCUCUCAUGGACACAUUCUACACAAUUAGGAAGCUCACCACCGCCUCUACUUUCUGUGGAGUCUGGAAAGAGCUGGACUACGCACAUCUACUCUUGUCAUUCUACAGACGUGGAGCAGGGAGCAUCCUAACAAGGUGCAUCACUGCAUGAUAUGAAAAUGGCACUGGGGCGGGCAGGAAGGCUCUACAACGGGCAAUCAUAACUGUCCAAUGCAUCAUCACACCAGCCUUUCUGCUAGCAAGGAAAUAUAUACAGAAAAGUGACGGAAAAGGGCCAGUAACAUCAUGAAGGAUCCGACCUACCCACCUCAUGGACUGUUUGCCCCACUCCCAUCAGAGAAGAGGCUACGUAGCAUCCACUCCAGGACCACCAGACUCAAAAACAGUUACUUUCCCCAAGCAGGAGGGAUGAUCAACACCUCCACCCACUGACCCAACCACCACUACUUUAUCAUUUCCUGUCGGAGUCACUUAUGUACAGACACUCCUGUGCCUAGCAUCAUUUUAUGGACAUACAAUCAACCUAUGUAUAUAAACUAUCUUACAUAUUUAUAUUUUUUGUGUUUUUUAAUUGUUAUUGUCUUCUUUAUCUUAUUGUACGUUUUUAUUUGUGUUGCAUUGGAUCCGGAGUAACAAUGAUUUCUUUCUCCUUUACACUUGUAUACUGGUUGAAAUGACA